AUUACACCUUUGAAGCAAAAUAUACUAAAAUUGGAACGAUACAGAGAAGAUUAGCAUGGCCCCUGCGCAAAAAGUCUUCAUGGGACUGUGUUAUAAGCAUUUUUUUU